GACUACUGGGGUAUCUAAGCCCGUUCGCUCCCCUAGCUUUCGCCUCUCAGCGUCAGGUACAGGCCAGGAAGUCGCCUUCGCCACUGGUGUUCCUCCUAAUAUCUGAGCAUUCCACCGCUACACUAGGAAUUCCACUUCCCUCUCCUGCCCUCUAGUAGCCUAGUUUUGAACGACCCCUCCCAGUUGGGCCGGGAGAUGUCACGCCCAACUUUGGCUACCGCCUACUUGCCCUUUACGCCCAGUAAAUCCGGAUAACGCUCGCCUCCUACGUUUUACCGCGGCUGCUGGCACGUAGUUAGCCGAGACUUAUUCCUGAGGUACCGUCCUCGCUCAUCCCUCAGAAAAGAGCUUUACGACCCGAAGGCCUUCUUCGCUCACGCGGCGUUGCUGCAUCUGGGUUUCCCCCAUUGUGCAAUAUUCCUUACUGCAGCCCCCCGUAGG
rnacentral:rRNA from 1 species